rnacentral:rRNA from 1 species
AAUGGACGAAAGUCUGACGGAGCAACGCCGCGUGAGUGAUGAAGGCUUUCGGGUCGUAAAACUCUGUUGUCAGGGAAGAACAUCCGGGAUGACCUCCCGGUCUGACGGUACCUGAUCAGAAAGCCCCGGCUAACUACGUGCCAGCAGCCGCGGUAAUACGUAGGGGGCAAGCGUUGUCCGGAAUUAUUGGGCGUAAAGCGCGCGCAGGCGGUUUCUUAAGUCUGGUGUGAAAGCCCGCAGCUCAACUGCGGAGGGCCACUGGAAACUGGGAAGCUUGAGUGUAGGAGAGGAGAGCGGAAUUCCACGUGUAGCGGUGAAAUGCGUAGAUAUGUGGAGGAACACCCGUGGCGAAAGCGGCUCUCUGGCCUAUAACUGACGCUGAGGCGCGAAAGCGUGGGGAGCAAA